ensembl:misc_RNA Y_RNA Y RNA
GGCUGGUCCAAAGGUAGUGAGUUAUCUCAAUUGAUUGUUCACAGUCAGUACAGAUUGAACUCCUUGUUCUACUCUUUCCCUCCUUCUCACUACUGCACUUGACUAAGUCUAAA